GAGCAAUCCGAAGAGACAGAGGAGCGUCCGAAUCAUUUUCGGCAGAACUGCGCUGACCGACAGCUGCCAGCGUUCGAGGAACCUUAAGGACAUUCUGAGGGAGGGGCGGGGCCGGGUAUGGCGCCCCACGCCUGGACGAGCUACUCAGGCUUCACGAUGCAGGUCUAUGGAAAAUCAGUACCAAGGAAAGUGGAGCCCUUCUAUGUUGGCAGACUAUUACUGGACACUGAAGAGGGAUGUUCAAGAUA